UACGAAGGUCCCAAGCGUUAUCCGGAUUUAUUGGGUUUAAAGGGUGCGUAGGCGGGCUAUUAAGUCAGUGGUGAAAUCUCCGAGCCUAACUCGGAAACUGCCAUUGAUACUGAUGGUCUUGAGUACAUUUGAGGUGGGCGGAAUGUGUCAUGUAGCGGUGAAAUGCUUAGAUAUGACACAGAACACCGAUUGCGAAGGCAGCUCACUAAACUGUAACUGACGCUGAGGCACGAAAGCGUGGGGAGCAAACAGG
rnacentral:rRNA from 1 species